GUGACAACCAAAACUAGCAGCAGCGUGCAAAAAGUUGGUGCGUCAACUAGAUCGGCAAAAUCGGUGUAAGUGAAUCGCAACUUUCUGUCAAAGAUCACAUACAAUUGCAAAAAGACAAAUCAGUGAAGAUACUUUCCAAAAGUGAUUGGACAGAAAAAAAUCGUUGCGUGGAACUUGAAGAAAAAUUAAAAAUCUGAUGAAGAUGACUGGCUGGAUUAGUUUUAUUUUAAUUACCACCGCAUCGAUGAUCAUAAUAGCAGAAUCUAAAAUGAUUCCAACUAAGCCGGCUUCCGUCAUGAUGGAUUCUAGCAGUCCUGUGCUAUUCUUGAGAGAAAAGAGAACAGUUGCUCAUCCAUAUCCGCACAGGGCGAUGAUGUUCACCGGAUAUUACAGACCGAUACGUCGUUCAGGUAACGGCGACCAUGCAACGGGCCUCUUCGCGCAAGGAAACGCCGUAAGUGGCCAGGCCUUUUUCGGCGGUAUGCACGCGCCGCAUCUCAAGGAUGGUCCGGAACCGAUCGAGGAAUCGGAAAUAUCCAGCGCCCAUGCACAGGCGGCGCCGAUAUCCGACGAGGAUCAUCAUCAUUAUCAUCAUCAGAACGAAGUGCAUCGUCACGAGGAAGAUCAAUAUCACGAGCAUCGCCAUCACGAAGAGGAGAAGCAUCACCAUCAUCACCAAGAUUCUUCUACCUCUCAGGAGCAUCACGAGCCAGAACAGAUCCCGCUAACCACAGAGAUUGCGCAAUCGGAAGAGGAAGAACCGAUCGCGGCCAACACAGAAGUAUCCAUUACUCGACCAAAAGUACAUCAUACGAAGAAGCCGCCUGUCAUUGACGACGACAAAGAUGAAGAUGAGGAAGAUGAGGAUGAUGAGCAGCCAGUUAUACCGUUUGUACCUGUCAAGGGUAUCCGACGUCGCCAAGGAUUUCCUCAUCUGAACAAUUUCUUCCCCAUGGUCUUUAGUUUCCCUAGAGUGGCCACUCGUGCUGGAUCCUCCGGUUCCGUUCCUGGUACCAUUACGGCUAUUGCGAAUAGUUAUUCUACCGGAAAGGGUGGAGUCGCUAGUUCAGUGGCCACUGCAUACGGCGGAUCUCCUGUUGGAAAGAAACGACGUCCGCAGCCAUACGAAGAAUAAUUAACUUCUGAUAAAAAAAAUGAUAGAUCUUAUUGAAUCUUUAAGGAGAAUAUUUAAGGAGAGGAUAACAUUUAAGGAGAAGAGAAGAAAGAAUUGAUAUCAUCGAGAUUCAAUAGAUACAUCUUCAAUAUAUGGAUGAUGAAGAAAUCUGUUUUUAUAAGAAUAAAAAAAUAUCAUGCUUCGUUAACAGCUAUUUACAUAUUGAAGUGGUAGAAGAGUCUAUCAAAUUGUCGGCUUUGCACAUCUUAUGCUAGGUUUAUAAUUCAUUUGUAUUGAGAUAAUAAUAUACUAAUGUUAACGUAU